rnacentral:rRNA from 1 species
UACGUAGGGUGCAAGCGUUGUCCGGAAUUAUUGGGCGUAAAGAGCUCGUAGGCGGUCUGUCGCGUCGGCUGUGAAAACUCGGGGCUCAACCCCGAGCCUGCAGUCGAUACGGGCAGACUAGAGUGCUGUAGGGGAGACUGGAAUUCCUGGUGUAGCGGUGGAAUGCGCAGAUAUCAGGAGGAACACCGGUGGCGAAGGCAGGAUCCUGGGCCAGUACUGACGCUGGGGAGCGAAAGCGUGGGGAGCAAACAGG